UACGGGGGGAGCAAGCGUUGUUCGGAUUCAUUGGGCGUAAAGGGUGUGUAGGUGGCGCGCUGAGUCGGGUGUGAAAUUUCGGAGCUUAACUCCGAAACUGCAUUCGAUACUGGCGUGCUUGAGGACUGGAGAGGAGACUGGAAUUCAUGGUGUAGCAGUGAAAUGCGUAGAGAUCAUGAGGAAGACCAGUGGCGAAGGCGGGUCUCUGGACAGUUCCUGACACUGAGACACGAAGGCCAGGGGAGCGAACGGG
rnacentral:rRNA from 1 species